rnacentral:rRNA from 1 species
CAGCAGCCACGGUAAUACGAAGGGGGCUAGCGUUGUUCGGAUUUAUUGGGCGUAAAGGGUGCGUAGGCGGCCCCGCAAGUCUCAUGUGAAAUCUUCAGGCUCAACUUGAAGUCUGCAUGGGAAACUGCGGGGCUGGAGUAUGGGAGAGGUGAGUGGAAUUCCUGGUGUAGCGGUGAAAUGCGUAGAUAUCAGGAGGAACACCUGUGGCGAAAGCGGCUCACUGGACCAUAACUGACGCUGAGGCACGAAAGCUAGGGGAGCAAACAGGAUUAGAUACCCGCGUAGUCCCUGUCUCUUAUAC